GUGGAUUAGAUACCCGAGUAGUCCACGCCCUAAACGAUGUCAACUGGUUGUUGGGAAUUCACUUUCUCAGUAACGAAGCUAACGCGUGAAGUUGACCGCCUGGGGAGUACGGCCGCAAGGUUAAAACUCAAAGGAAUUGACGGGGACCCGCACAAGCGGUGGAUGAUGUGGUUUAAUUCGAUGCAACGCGAAAAACCUUACCCACCUUUGACAUGUAUGGAAGAUCGCAGAGACGCGAUUGUGCUCGAAAGAGAGCCAUAACACAGGUGCUGCAUGGCCGGCGUCAGCA
rnacentral:rRNA from 1 species